AGAUUUAAAAGUACGAGAGAAUUUUGGCAUGCAGUUAGGCAUCUGCCUAACUGCAUGCCAAAAUUCUCUCGUACUUUUAAAUCC